CUACGGGAUGCAGCCGUGAGGAAUAUUGCACAAUGGGGGGAACCCUGAUGCAGCAACGCCGCGUGGAGGAUGACGCAUUUCGGUGUGUAAACUCCUUUUAUAUGUCAAGAAGAUGACGGUAGCAUAUGAAUAAGCACCGGCUAACUCCUUGCCAGCAGCCGUGGUAAUACGGAGGGUGCAAGCGUUACUCGGAAUCACUGGGCGUAAAGGACGCGUAGGCGGGUUGGAAAGUCAGGUGUGAAAUCCUACAGCUUAACUGUAGAACUGCACUUGAAACUUCUAAUCUAGAGUAUGGGAGGGGGAGAUGGAAUUAGUGGUGUAGGGGUAAAAUCCGUAGAUAUCACUAGGAAUACCUAAAGCGAAGGCGAUCUCCUGGAACAUUACUGACGCUAAGGCGUGAAAGCGUGGGGAGCAAACAGGAUUAGAUACCCGCGUAGUC
rnacentral:rRNA from 1 species